GGGGAAUUAGCUCAAGUGGUAGAGCGCUUGCUUAGCAUGCAAGAGGUAGUGGGAUAGAUGCCCACAUUCUCCA
rfam:Chlorocebus sabaeus isolate 1994-021 chromosome 17, whole genome shotgun sequence.